rnacentral:rRNA from 1 species
GAACGGGUGAGUAACACGUGAGUAACCUGCCCUUAACUCUGGGAUAAGCCUGGGAAACUGGGUCUAAUACCGGAUAGGAGCGUCCACCGCAUGGUGGGUGUUGGAAAGAUUUAUCGGUUUUGGAUGGACUCGCGGCCUAUCAGCUUGUUGGUGAGGUAAUGGCUCACCAAGGCGACGACGGGUAGCCGGCCUGAGAGGGUGACCGGCCACACUGGGACUGAGACACGGCCCAGACUCCUACGGGAGGCAGCAGUGGGGAAUAUUGCACAAUGGGCGCAAGCCUGAUGCAGCGACGCCGCGUGAGGGAUGACGGCCUUCGGGUUGUAAACCUCUUUCAGUAGGGAAGAAGCGAAAGUGACGGUACCUGCAGAAGAAGCACCGGCUAACUACGUGCCAGCAGCCGCGGUAAUACGUAGGGUGCGAGCGUUAUCCGGAAUUAUUGGGCGUAAAGAGCUCGUAGGCGGUUUGUCGCGUCUGUCGUGAAAGUCCGGGGCUUAACCCCGGAUCUGCGGUGGGUACGGGCAGACUAGAGUGCAGUAGGGGAGACUGGAAUUCCUGGUGUAGCGGUGGAAUGCGCAGAUAUCAGGAGGAACACCGAUGGCGAAGGCAGGUCUCUGGGCUGUAACUGACGCUGAGGAGCGAAAGCAUGGGGAGCGAACAGGAUUAGAUACCCUGGUAGUCCAUGCCGUAAACGUUGGGCACUAGGUGUGGGGACCAUUCCACGGUUUCCGCGCCGCAGCUAACGCAUUAAGUGCCCCGCCUGGGGAGUACGGCCGCAAG